CUUGCUUCUUCCUGCAGGGGGUGAGCCCGGUGCCCGGGGCCUAAACCUACUCAUCCGGAAGGACGGCCGGACAGUGAACCUGGGUGGGAAGACCUCGGUGCCCGUGUACCCCGGGGACGUGUUCUGUCUCCACACACCAGGAGGUGGGGGUUACGGGGACCCAGAGGACCCCACCCCACUGCCAGGUUCACCGUUGCAGCCCCUAGUCUUCCCUGAGCGGGGCAGCGUGUAUGAAUACCGCAGGGCCCAGGAGGCUGUGUGAAGGAGGGCCCCCACAAUAAAGAUCCCUGAAGUCA